GUCGAGCGGACGGAUGGGAGCUUGCUCCCUGAUGUCAGCGGCGGACGGGUGAGUAACACGUGGGCAACCUGCCUGUAAGACUGGGAUAACUUCGGGAAACCGGAGCUAAUACCGGAUAAUUCUUUCCCUCACAUGAGGGAAAGCUGAAAGAUGGUUUCGGCUAUCACUUACAGAUGGGCCCGCGGCGCAUUAGCUAGUUGGUGAGGUAACGGCUCACCAAGGCAACGAUGCGUAGCCGACCUGAGAGGGUGAUCGGCCACACUGGGACUGAGACACGGCCCAGACUCCUACGGGAGGCAGCAGUAGGGAAUCUUCCGCAAUGGACGAAAGUCUGACGGAGCAACGCCGCGUGAGUGAUGAAGGUUUUCGGAUCGUAAAACUCUGUUGUUAGGGAAGAACAAGUACCGGAGUAACUGCCGGUACCUUGACGGUACCUAACCAGAAAGCCACGGCUAACUACGUGCCAGCAGCCGCGGUAAUACGUAAGUGGCAAGCGUUGUCCGGAAUUAUUGGGCGUAAAGCGCGCGCAGGCGGUUCCUUAAGUCUGAUGUGAAAGCCCACGGCUCAACCGUGGAGGGUCAUUGGAAACUGGGGAACUUGAGUGCAGAAGAGAAGAGUGGAAUUCCACGUGU
rnacentral:rRNA from 1 species